GCCCGAUUAGCUCAGCUGGUUAGAGCAUCGUACUAAUAUCGUCCCACCAAGCAAUCUUUGGUCCAUGCGAAGGUCAACAGUUCAUUCCUGCUAUUGGGCA